UACGGGGGGGGGCAAGCGUUGUUCGGAAUUACUGGGCGUAAAGGGCUCGUAGGCGGCCAACUAAGUCAGACGUGAAAUCCCUCGGCUUAACCGGGGAACUGCGUCUGAUACUGGAUGGCUGGAGUUUGGGAGAGGGAUGCGGAAUUCCAGGUGUAGCGGUGAAAUGCGUAGAUAUCUGGAGGAACACCGGUGGCGAAGGCGGCAUCCUGGACCAAUACUGACGCUGAGGAGCGAAAGCCAGGGGAGCAAACGGG
rnacentral:rRNA from 1 species